rnacentral:rRNA from 1 species
UACGUAGGGGGCUAGCGUUGUCCGGAAUCAUUGGGCGUAAAGAGCGUGUAGGCGGCCCGGUAAGUCCGCUGUGAAAGUCGGGGGCUCAACCCUCGAAUGCCGGUGGAUACUGUCGGGCUAGAGUACGGAAGAGGCGAGUGGAAUUCCUGGUGUAGCGGUGAAAUGCGCAGAUAUCAGGAGGAACACCAAUUGCGAAGGCAGCUCGCUGGGACGUGACUGACGCUGAGGUGCGAAAGCGUGGGGAGCAAACAGG